rnacentral:rRNA from 1 species
GAGUUUGAUCCUGGCUCAGAAUGAAUGCUGGCGGCAUGGAUUAGGCAUGCAAGUUGAACGAGAAGUAAACUUCGGUUUAUGGAAAGUAGCGAAAGGGUGAGUAACGCGUGAAUAAUCUGCCCCUAAGUUUGGAACAACAGUUGGAAACGACUGCUAAUACCGGAUGUGAAUAUUUUUCUGCAUGGAAUUAUAUUUAAAGGUUACGCUUAGGGAUGAGUUCGCGUGCCAUUAUGCUAGUUGGUAAGGUAACGGCUUACCAAGGCUAUGACGGCUAGGUGGUCUGAGAGGACGAUCACCCACACUGGGACUGAGACACUGCCCAGACUCCUGCGGGAGGCUGCAGUCGAGAAUCUUCCGCAAUGCGCGCAAGCGUGACGGAGCAAUGCCGCGUGAUCGAAGACUGCCUUCGGGUUGUAAAGAUCUGUCAGGGGGGAAAAACGAUGAUGGUACCCCCAGAGGAAGCCACGGCUAACUACGUGCCAGCAGCCGCGGUAAUACGUAGGUGGCGAGCAUUAUUCGGAAUUACUGGGC